UAGCGCGCAUCAUACAACGUAACACUUCCUCUGUGAGCCUUGAGUGUGCCCUGAUAGAAGAUACAAAGGAACUUCCCAUUUGAAAGGAAAUAUCUACGACUCAGAAUGACUGACGCAAGUUCCAUGAGUUCUAUGAGCGGGGUAGAGUCGGCAAGUGAGAUGUCGCAAAGCAUGGGCGGAACUACAGGAGGAGGUAA